ensembl:snoRNA SNORD58 Small nucleolar RNA SNORD58
UUGCAAUGAUGACCUUCUUAGGACACCUUUGGAUUUCACUAUGAAAACAUCUUUUAGUCUGAGCAAC